rnacentral:rRNA from 1 species
UACGAAGGGGGCUAGCGUUGCUCGGAAUCACUGGGCGUAAAGGGUGCGUAGGCGGGUCUUUAAGUCAGGGGUGAAAUCCUGGAGCUCAACUCCAGAACUGCCUUUGAUACUGAGGAUCUUGAGUACGGGAGAGGUGAGUGGAACUGCGAGUGUAGAGGUGAAAUUCGUAGAUAUUCGCAAGAACACCAGUGGCGGAGGCGGCUCACUGGCCCGUAACUGACGCUGAGGCACGAAAGCGUGGGGAGCAAACAGG